UACGAAGGGUGCAAGCGUUGUUCGGAUUUAUUGGGCGUAAAGCGCGCGCAGGCGGAUUUUUAAGUCAGAUGUGAAAUCUCGGGGCUCAACCCCGAACGUGCGUCUGAAACUGGAGAUCUAGAAUGUUGGAGGGGGCAGAGGAAUUUCACAUGUAGGGGUAAAAUCCGUAGAGAUGUGAAGGAACACCAGAGGCGAAGGCGUCUGCCUGGCCAAAUAUUGACGCUGAGGCGCGAAAGCGUGGGGAGCAAACAGG
rnacentral:rRNA from 1 species